rnacentral:rRNA from 1 species
GAUGAACGCUGGCGGCGGGCCUAAUACAUGCAAGUCGAGCGAACGGACGAGAAGCUUGCUUCUCUGAUGUUAGCGGCGGACGGGUGAGGAACACGUGGAUAACCUACCGAUAAGACUGGGAUAACGUCGGGAAACCGGAGCUAAUACCGGAUAAUAUUUUGAACGGCAUGGUUCAAAAGUGAAAGACGGUCUUGCUGUCACUUAGAGAUGGAUCCGCGCUGCAUUAGCUAGUUGGUAAGGUAACGGCUUACCAAGGCAACGAUGCAUAGCCGACCUGAGAGGGUGAUCGGCCACACUGGAACUGAGACACGGUCCAGACUCCUACGGGAGGCAGCAGUAGGGAAUCUUCCGCAAUGGGCGAAAGCCUGACGGAGCAACGCCGCGUGAGUGAUGAAGGUCUUCGGAUCGUAAAACUCUGUUAUUAGGGAAGAACAUAUGUGUAAGUAACUGUGCACAUCUUGACGGUACCUAAUCAGAAAGCCACGGCUAACUACGUG